rnacentral:rRNA from 1 species
CACGUAGGCACCAAGCGUUAUCCGGAUUUAUUGGGCGUAAAGAGCUCGUAGGCGGUUCGGUAAGUCGGGUGUGAAACUCUGGGCUCAACCCAGAGAGGCCACCCGAUACUGCUGUGACUAGAGUGCGGUAGGGGAGCGGGGAAUUCCUGGUGUAGCGGUGAAAUGCGCAGAUAUUAGGAGGAACACCGGUGGCGAAGGCGCCGCUCUGGGCCGAAACUGACGCUGAGGAGCGAAAGCAUGGGUAGCAAACAGG